UGGAGAGUUUGAUCCUGGCUCAGAUUGAACGCUGGCGGCAGGCCUAACACAUGCAAGUCGAGCGGAAACGAGUUAUCUGAACCUUCGGGGAACGAUAACGGCGUCGAGCGGCGGACGGGUGAGUAAUGCCUGGGAAAUUGCCCUGAUGUGGGGGAUAACCAUUGGAAACGAUGGCUAAUACCGCAUAAUAGCUUCGGCUCAAAGAGGGGGACCUUCGGGCCUCUCGCGUCAGGAUAUGCCCAGGUGGGAUUAGCUAGUUGGUGAGGUAAGGGCUCACCAAGGCGACGAUCCCUAGCUGGUCUGAGAGGAUGAUCAGCCACACUGGAACUGAGACACGGUCCAGACUCCUACGGGAGGCAGCAGUGGGGAAUAUUGCACAAUGGGCGCAAGCCUGAUGCAGCCAUGCCGCGUGUAUGAAGAAGGCCUUCGGGUUGUAAAGUACUUUCAGCAGUGAGGAAGGYKSRUGYGUUAAUAGCGCUAUKSRUUUGACGUUAGCUGCAGAAGAAGCACCGGCUAACUCCGUGCCAGCAGCCGCGGUA
rnacentral:rRNA from 1 species